rnacentral:rRNA from 1 species
GACAGAGGAGCCAAGCGUUGUCCGGAGUGACUGGGCGUAAAGCGCACGCAGGUGGUUCUGCGCGUGGGGUGUGAAAGCUCUCGGCUCAACUGAGAGAGGCCACCUCAUACGGCCGAACUCGAGCCCUGCAGAGGUCCACGGAAUUGCCGGUGUAGUGGUGAAAUGCGUAGAGAUCGGCAGGAACACCCAGGGGGAAACCAGUGGACUGGGCAGGCGCUGACACUCAUGUGCGAAAGCGUGGGGAGCGAACCGG